GAUGAACGCUGGCGGCGUGCCUAAUACAUGCAAGUCAAGCGAACAGACGAGGAGCUUGCUCCUCUGACGUUAGCGGCGGACGGGGGAGUAACACGUGGAUAACCUACCUAUAAGACUGGGAUAACUUCGGGAAACCGGAGCUAAUACCGGAUAAUAUAUUGAACCGCAUGGUUCAAUAGUGAAAGACGGUUUUGCUGUCACUUAUAGAUGUAUCCGCGACGCAUUAGCUAGUUGGUAAGGUAAUGGCUUACCAAGGCAACGAUGCGUAGCCGACCUGAGAGGGUGAUCGGCCACACUGGAACUGAGACACGGUCCAGACUCCUACGGGAGGCAGCAGUAGGGAAUCUUCCGCAAUGGGCGAAAGCCUGACGGAGCAACGCCGCGUGAGUGAUGAAGGUCUUCGGAUCGUAAAGCUCUGUUAUUAGGGAAGAACAAAUGUGUAAGUAACUAUGCACGUCUUGACGGUACCUAAUCAGAAAGCCACGGCUAACUACGUG
rnacentral:rRNA from 1 species